CAUUCGUAUUGGAUUUGAUUUGACCAGAUAUAUUUAGCAACUAAAUCAUGGUAUUCAACUAAAUAUAAAGAUGCCACUAAACAUCAAAGAAAAAGAAAACAAAACAAGAAAAAGAAAAAGAAAUAUUUGAGAAGUUCGAAAUUCAUCAAAGUAUAGAGAAAACACAUCUUCAGUCAUGUCUACUGACAAAGCUUCCCCUUUUAUUCAAAACUCCAUGGGGAUUUUAUUCGUUGUUUUGCUACUGACAUCAUUGACAGAGCAAGUAUCAGCACGAGGAGCAGUAGUACCCUGCCUAGGUCCAUGUCCAAAGUUCCCAAACUGCUAUAAGUCUUGCGUCGCGAAAGGAUACAAGGGAGGUGGUUGUGUUGGAUUCUUGGGCAGUCGACCAGCUUGCUGCUGUUUCCAGAGCUGAAAUGCCUUCGUUGCCAUAAACGAAUAAAUGAAUAUGACAAGAACGUCAUGAAUAUUGUCAUUUCAAAAUAAUUGCUUGAUAAAUCCUAUAUAUAUAUAAAAAAAAAAUAGCACCUACUUGAUUUUUGACCUUUACCUGAAUAUUGCCAUAACUUCUCUGCUUUCAGAAACCUUUUGUCACAGUAGAUCAUGAGUUUUUUCA